GCAGGUGGCUAGAGAACUCGGAUUACAACCGCGGCAGGUUGCAAUUUGGUUCCAGAAUAAGAGAGCUCGAUAUAAAUCAAAGCAGCUCGAGAGAGACUACAACAAACUACGGUCCAAUUACAACACGCUGGCAGCCCAAUUCGACACCCUGAAGAAAGAGAAGCAAUCUUUAGUUAUACAGGUAACCAAUUGUUCUUCUUCAUCCAUUGGUCAUCAUAACAGCACUCAUGCAAUCUCAUUAGAAGCUUACCAGUUUGUUUUCAAAUUUCACAGUUGCAGAGGCUACAUGAUAUGAUGGAAAAUUCUGGGGAACAAGUAGCUAGAAAUAGCACUGCUGGAAAAUCAGACAAAAAGAGUGAGUCUGAAAUGAAGGCCGGCUUGUCAUUAGACAGAUCAGCU
rnacentral:lncRNA from 1 species